rnacentral:rRNA from 1 species
GACGAACGCUGGCGGCGUGCUUAACACAUGCCAGUCGAACGGAAAGGCCCGGCUUUGGUGGGUUGCUCGAGUGGCGAACGGGUGGGUAACACGUGGGUAACCUGCCCUGGACUUUGGGUUAACUUCAGGAAACUGGGGCUAAUACCGGAUAGGAGCUCCGGCUGCAUGGGGGGGGUGGGAAAGUUUCGGCGGUUGGGGAUGGACUCGCGGCUUAUCAGCUUGUUGGUGGGGUAGUGGCUUACCAAGGCUUUGACGGGUAGCCGGCCUGAGAGGGUGACCGGCCACAUUGGGACUGAGAUACGGCCCAGACUCCUACGGGAGGCAGCAGUGGGGAAUAUUGCACAAUGGGCGGAAGCCUGAUGCAGCAACGCCGCGUGCGGGAUGACGGCCUUCGGGUUGUAAACCGCCUUCGCCUGUGACGAAGCGUGAGUGACGGUAAUGGGUAAAGAAGCACCGGCUAACUACGUG